UCCCAUUCCGAACACGGAAGUUAAGCUCGCUUCUGCCGAAAAUACUUGUCUGGAGACGGACCGGGAAGAUAGGUAGUGCCUACA
rnacentral:rRNA from 1 species